UAAUUCAUGAUGAAUGCAUAGUUCAGAUGAACUCAUGAUUACAUUUUUUGUAUAGUCUUUCACCCCUAGCUGAUUCAAAUU